CGCGGGAAUUCGAUUAGAGUUUGAUUCUGGCUCAGAAUCAACGCUGGCGGCGUGCCUAACACAUGCAAGUCGAACGAGAAAGGGGAGCAAUCCCUGAGUAAAGUGGCGCACGGGUGAGUAACACGUGACUAACCUACCCUGGAGUGGGGGAUAACUGAGGGAAACCUUAGCUAAUACCGCAUAACACCUACGGGUCAAAGGAGCAAUUCGCUUCAGGAGGGGGUCGCGGCCGAUUAGUUAGUUGGCGGGGUAAUGGCCCACCAAGACGAUGAUCGGUAUCCGGCCUGAGAGGGCGCACGGACACACUGGAACUGAAACACGGUCCAGACUCCUACGGGAGGCAGCAGUGGGGAAUUUUGCGCAAUGGGGGAAACCCUGACGCAGCAACGCCGCGUGGAGGAUGAAGUACUUCGGUACGUAAACUCCUUUCGAUCGGGACGAUAAUGACGGUACCGAGAGAAGAAGCCCCGGCUAACUUCGUGCCAGCAGCCGCGGUAAUACGAGGGGGGCGAGCGUUGUUCGGAAUUAUUGGGCGUAAAGGGUGCGUAGGCGGUUUGGUAAGUCUGAUGUGAAAUCUAUGGGCUCAACUCAUAGUCUGCAUC
rnacentral:rRNA from 1 species